UACGUAGGGGGCAAGCGUUGUCCGGAAUCAUUGGGCGUAAAGCGCGUGUAGGCGGCCAGGUAAGUCCGUUCUGAAAGCCCGGGGCUCAACCCCGGGAGGCGGAUGGAUACUGCUUGGCUCGAGUCCGGAAGAGGCGAGUGGAAUUCCCGGUGUAGCGGUGAAAUGCGCAGAUAUCGGGAGGAACACCAAUGGCGAAGGCAGCUCGCUGGGACGGUACUGACGCUGAGACGCGAAAGCGUGGGGAGCAA
rnacentral:rRNA from 1 species